rnacentral:tRNA from 1 species
GUUUGAGCAGCCUAAGUAGGCAUAAAAUUGUAAAUUUUAUUAAAUUAACCAAACA